rnacentral:rRNA from 1 species
GUAGGUGGCAAGCGUUGUCCGGAAUUAUUGGGCGUAAAGCGCGCGCAGGCGGUCCUUUAAGUCUGAUGUGAAAGCCCACGGCUCAACCGUGGAGGGUCAUUGGAAACUGGGGGACUUGAGUACAGAAGAGGAAAGCGGAAUUCCAAGUGUAGCGGUGAAAUGCGUAGAGAUUUGGAGGAACACCAGUGGCGAAGGCGGCUUUCUGGUCUGUAACUGACGCUGAGGCGCGAAAGCGUGGGGAGCAAACAGGAUUAGAUACCCUGGUAGUCCACGCCGUAAACGAUGAGUGCUAAGUGUUAGGGGGUUUCCCGCCCCCCUUAGUGCUGCAGCUAACGCAUUAAGCACUCCGCCCGGGGGAGUACGGCCGCAAGGCUG